rnacentral:pre_miRNA from 1 species
CACCUCCGCAGGCUGGCAGCCUCCCCAGGCUGAGCUGGGCUAGUAUCUCUUUGAAAAGUUCACCCACAAGUACAACUAGGAAC